AGUUCAACAGGGACGGACGGACGGGGAAUACGUAUUCGAACUAAACGAACGUGUAACCAUGACUGACGUGUUGGUUUAUUUUUAUUUUUUUCUUCGCCCCUUACAAAGUAAGACUAGCACGUGCAUGCGAUUAACACGAAUCGCGUAGACGCGUUAACACACGGAUCACGUAUAGAGGUAACAUGUAGAGCAGAAGAAGAAGAAUGAACGAAACAACAAAGUCGGAUCGAACGCGAUGAUGUAACUUCUGUUCCGAUGUGUCAUUGUUAUUGAUGUAUCGUUAUGGUUAGCUAUGUAUAUCUGCUAUUGUACGUUCAGUUACUAAAGACAAAACCAAAACAAUUUCCAAACCCAGACCAAGUUUUGUUAUUUGAAUGGCAAAUAAUUGCAAGAGCAUAGAUCAAAUGAAAUCUAAGCUGAAUUCAAUUUAUUAUAAUUUCCUUCAUUUUAUUGAGAAUUAUAAAAUCAUGCUAAAAGAAGCAACUACUGAGUAUAAACAAUUUCAAG